UACAGAGGUCUCAAGCGUUGUUCGGAUUCAUUGGGCGUAAAGGGUGCGUAGGCGGUGUGUCGCGUCGGCCGUGAAAACCUGCAGCUUAACUGUGGGCUUGCGGUCGAUACGGGCAUCACUGGAGUUCGGCAGGGGAGACUGGAAUCCUGGUGUAGCGGUGAAAUGCGCAGAUAUCAGGAGGAACACCGGUGGCGAAGGCGGGUCUCUGGGCCGAUGACUGACGCUGAGGAGCGAAAGCGUGGGGAGCGAACAGG
rnacentral:rRNA from 1 species